CAGCAGCCGCGGGAAUACGAAGGGGGCUAGCGUUGUUCGGAUUUACUGGGCGUAAAGCGCACGUAGGCGGAUCGAUCAGUCAGGGGUGAAAUCCCAGAGCUCAACUCUGGAACUGCCUUUGAUACUGUCGAUCUGGAGUAUGGAAGAGGUGAGUGGAAUUCCGAGUGUAGAGGUGAAAUUCGUAGAUAUUCGGAAGAACACCAGUGGCGAAGGCGGCUCACUGGCUCAUACUGGACGCUGAGGUGCGAAAGCGUGGGGAGCAAACAGGAUUAGAUACCCCCGUAGUCCCUGUCUCUUAUAC
rnacentral:rRNA from 1 species